AAUUUUAGAACUCGAAUAAUGAUUUAUUUUCCUGUAUAUAGUUGUCAUGUGAUGUAUAAUAAUAAAAUGUAAUAUAUGCAUUUAAAAGCUUUUAAUGAAUAUAAACAACGCACACAUUCUCGUGAUUCAUGAUUGAGAAAGGCACAAUUGCACCGCUAGGUGGAUUAAAAUAGGUUUUUAUUACAACUAUUGACGGACGUUUCAUUGCAGGGUAUAUAUGAAGCCGAAAACACCCACAACAAUGGGGUAACUAACACAUAGCUCGCCGGUGACAAAGUGAUAGUCGCACGGUUGAGUGGAGGAAUCGAUUUUCUGAAACUGGAAACGUACACGCAAGGUUGUCAGAUCGAUUGGGGAUUUACGUCUGCAUAAGGGCGAACCCACGCACGUACCGGUUCGGCAGGAAGCAUUAGUUAAUUUCAGCAAUCCGUCCACAGCGUUGCCAGCUCAACAUCACGCAUCCGAGAAGGAGCUUCGAUGUGUCCUGGAGUUUCACCAGCAGCGUCACCGGUGACAUGUUUGGAAGUGGCGAGCGGUACAGUCAUGACUGGCAGCCAGGGCCACACUUUUAAAGUAUUCCGGCUAGAUAGCCACCUAUUGCAGUUCACCCUAAACGGCUAUUGCGGUUCUAUCACAUGUAUUUUCAUAGACCAGUGGCAGGCCGAGAUGGGCGCAUCUGGUUACCAGGAUGGUGUGCUAUGUGUGUGGGACUUGAUACGGAGUGCCUGUAUGUGCAAAAUUGAAGCGACAAAAUUGACGACUCAAUCGUCGGACUUGCCUGUUCACCGAGUUACGCAAUAUCGCUUGGACUGGACGAACGAAUACGGAUCUGGGAUAGAUUUCAGGGUCGUAUGGGACGACAAUACUGGAGAUGUAGCUCGGGAAGUCAGGCUUGACUGUUCCAAUUCACAGCUAAAUCCGAAGAUUAUGCUACCUGCCAGUGGUUCGGUAAUUUGUGACUACGGAAAUCGAAUGAGAAUCGUUCGUUUCCCACUUGUGGCGGCGGAAAAGUGGUUCGGUCCGGGGAAUCGUAAUCGACCAGCUGUACAGCUGCAGCCUCCGAACGAAGCCAUUGCUAGCACGAGUCUUUGAUUUGGAAGGAUAGUUGCUGAGGACCAUUCUCACAAUAAGUUGAUAAUAUCCAUUACAUGAUCAAAUGCGCUGAUGGGUAUGAAUAUGCAUGUGUACGGUUUGGUAACCAGUACAAUUUACACCUUUCUAUGCAGUGCACGGCCACCAAUGAUUCUUCCAUAAAUUUAGACAUUGUGCCGAACAAGAGUAAAUUCGCGUAUAUAAAAUAUAUAGGAGGCCCUAUUUUCACAGUCACGUCACUUAGUGACUAGAAGGAAAUUUUCUUCUAGUCACUAGGUGACGUGACUGUGAGAAUAGGGGCUUGGAGCAUAUCGCUGUCUGUGCACGGAACUGAACAUGAUUAAAUUUUUGGCUCACGCGCAUUUAAACGAUCACUUAGCCUAUGUGUCCGCAUGUGACCGGUGGGGUAGCGUUGAGGGAUUUUGUCGCCGCUCACGGUACAUUUCUAU